rnacentral:rRNA from 1 species
AUACGUAGGGAGCGAGCGUUGUCCGGAAUUACUGGGUGUAAAGGGAGCGUAGGCGGGAUCGCAAGUCAGAUGUGAAAUACAUGGGCUUAACCCAUGGGCUGCAUUUGCAACUGUGGUUCUUGAGUGAAGUAGAGGGAAGCGGAAUUCCUGGUGUCGCGGGGGAAUGCGUAGAUAUCAGGAGGAACACCGGUGGUGAAGGCGGCUUACUGGGCAUUUACUGACGCUGAGGCUCGAAAGCGUGGGGAGCAAACAGGAUUAGAUACCCUGGUAGUCCACGCUGUAAACGAUGAUUACUAGGUGUGGGGGGACUGACCCCUUCCGUGCCGCAGUUAACACAAUAAGUAAUCCACCUGGGGAGUACGGCCGCAAGGUUGAAACUCAAAUGAAUUGGCGGGG